UGGCUCAGUGGAUAGAGCAUUGGCCUGCGGACUCAAGGGUCCCGGGUUUGAUUCCCGG
rnacentral:tRNA from 1 species